rnacentral:rRNA from 1 species
GUAAGGACGCGUAGGCGGGAAGCCAAGUCUGAUGUGAAAUCCUAUGGUAAACCAUAGAACUGCAUUGGAAACUGGUUACCUAGAGUAUGGGAGGGGGAGAUGGAAUUAGUGGUGUAGGGGUAAAAUCCGUAGAUAUCACUAGGAAUACCGAAAGCGAAGGCGAUCUCCUGGAACAAUACUGACGCUAAGGCGUGAAAGCGUGGGGAGCAGACGGGGUGAGAUACCCCGGUAGUCCACGCCCUAAACGAUGUUCACUAGUCGUCGGAAUGCUAGUCAUUUCGGUGAUGCACUUAACAGAUUAAGUGAACCGCCUGGGGAGUACGGUCGCAAGAUUAAAACUCAAAGGAAUAGACGGGGACCCGCACAAGUGGUGGAGCAUGUGGUUUAAUUCGAAGAUACGCGAAGAACCUUACCUAGCCUUGACAUUGAAGAAACACUUUAGAGAUAGAGUGGUGCCCUUCGGGGAAUCUGAAAACAGGUGCUGCACGGCUGUCGUCAGCUCGUGUCGUGAGAUGUUGGGUUAAGUCCCGCAACGAGCGCAACCCUCGUCCUUAGUUGCCAGCAGGUUAAGCUGGGCACUUUAAGGAGACUGCCUUCGCAAGGAGGAGGAAGGUGAGGACGACGUCAAGUCAUCAUGGCCCUUAUGGCUAGGGCUACACACGUGCUACAAUGGGGGCGUACAGAGAGUUGCGAUACCGCGAGGUGGAGCCAAUCUCAUAAAGCGUCUCUCAGUUCGGAUUGGAGUCUGCAACUCGACUCCAUGAAGCUGGAAUCACUAGUAAUCGUAGAUCAGCAAUGCUACGGUGAAUACGUU